ACCUGCCUUCUGCCCUUAGGCUCCGGUAGACUGCAAAUGACCUGCUUUCUUUCUGUUCCCGGGCUGCGUUUGGACCCCUGUCGGAUAGUAAAUCCCAAGUAAGGUACCUGCCCUCGGCAGAUUUGAGCUUUCUUCUUGGACACCUAAUACCCACAGUCCCCCAGGCUCCGGUAGACUGCAAAUGACCUGCUUUCUUUCUGUUCCCGGGCUGCGUUUGGACCCCUGUCGGACAGUAAAUCCCAAGUAAGGUACCUGCCCUCGGCAGAUUUGAGCUUUCUUCUUGGACACCUAAUACCCACAGUCCUCCAGGAAUGGAACAGAUAAGAAGAUACUGAAAUUGGACGGUGCUGCCGUGCGGCUGCCGCAGGACACCUUUAAUAUCCCUGUUUCUCAGGCUGUAGAUGAAGGGGUUCAGCAUGGAGGUGAUCACCGUGUACAUCACUGAGGCCACUGCAGCCUUUCUCGGGGAAGAUGACACAUCUGAACUGAGGUACCCUCCAAAGCCUGUUCCGUAAAAUCAGCAAACAACUGACAGGUGAGACCCACAGGUGGAGAAGGCCUUAUACUUCCCACGUGAUGAUGAAACCCUCAGAAUGGAGGAAACAAUUUUAUAGUAAGAGAAAAGGGUCCCCGAGAUGGGAAGAAAACCAAAUAUGGCAGCAGGCAAAUACAUGAUUAUGUUAUUGGUGAAGGUGUCACAACAUGCAAGAUGGGGGAGUUGAGAAGGGUCACAGAAGAAACUAGGAAUUUCCGCAUCCUGGAAGCAGGUCAUUUGUAAGGCAAUCAAGUUGUGCAGCUGGGCGUCUAAAGGACUGAGAAAAAAAAAAAAAAA
ensembl:lncRNA LINC01198 long intergenic non-protein coding RNA 1198